rnacentral:tRNA from 2 species
GAGAGGCAAGCACUGGUUUGGCGUGCAGCUAGUUUGAACCUAGUAGGAGGGGGGUUCGAUUCCUUCGUCUCUUG